ACACUCCUGCGGGAGGCAGCAGUGGGGAAUAUUGGACAAUGGGCGCAAGCCUGAUCCAGCCAUGCCGCGUGAGUGAUGAAGGCCCUAGGGUUGUAAAGCUCUUUCACCGGUGAAGAUAAUGACGGUAACCGGAGAAGAGGCCCCGGCUAACUUCGUGCCAGCAGCCGCGGUAAUACGAAGGGGGCUAGCGUUGUUCGGAUUUACUGGGCGUAAAGCGCACGUAGGCGGACUAUUAAGUCAGGGGUGAAAUCCCGGGGCUCAACCCCGGAACUGCCUUUGAUACUGGUAGUCUUGAGUUCGAGAGAGGUGAGUGGAAUUCCGAGUGUAGAGGUGAAAUUCGUAGAUAUUCGGAGGAACACCAGUGGCGAAGGCGGCUCACUGGCUCGAUACUGACGCUGAGGUGCGAAAGCGUGGGGAGCAAACAGGAUUAGAAACCCCAGUAGUCCCAUGAU
rnacentral:rRNA from 1 species